rnacentral:rRNA from 1 species
GACGAACGCUGGCGGCGUGCCUAAUACAUGCAAGUAGAACGCUGAAGAGAGGAGCUUGCUCUUCUUGGAUGAGUUGCGAACGGGUGAGUAACGCGUAGGUAACCUGCCUUGUAGCGGGGGAUAACUAUUGGAAACGAUAGCUAAUACCGCAUAACAAUGGAUGACACAUGUCAUUUAUUUGAAAGGGGCAAUUGCUCCACUACAAGAUGGACCUGCGUUGUAUUAGCUAGUAGGUGAGGUAAUGGCUCACCUAGGCGACGAUACAUAGCCGACCUGAGAGGGUGAUCGGCCACACUGGGACUGAGACACGGCCCAGACUCCUACGGGAGGCAGCAGUAGGGAAACUUCGGCAAUGGGGGCAACACUGACCGAGCAACGCCGCGUGAGUGAAGAAGGUUUUCGGAUCGUAAAGCUCUGUUGUAAGUCAAGAACGGGUGUGAGAGUGGAAAGUUCACACUGUGACGGUAGCUGACCAGAAAGGGACGGCUAACUACGUG